UUAGAGACAGAAAGUAGACUGAUGGUUGCCUGGGGCUGGAGCGAAGGCGGGCUGGAAAGACCGGAGAAUGCUAAUGGCUCCGAGCUUCCUCUGGGAAUAUGGACACGUGCUGGAUCUAGAUUGAGAAACGCGGGUCGGUGAUGUUGACAAGAGCUUGCUGGGCAAGGCCAAGUAGAGAGAUGCAUUCUGUGUUUCUUCCUGUCCUUUGAAAGAGGGAAAUCCUAAGGGAACUUGGGAGCUGAUCCUUCCUCUGUUGAACCUCCAGAUGAGAACUCAGCCCAGCUGCCCCCUGGACUGUGAACCCCUGAGCAGAGGAGCCAGCUAAGCCGUGCCUGGACUCCUGACCCAUAGAAAUG